rnacentral:tRNA from 1 species
CUGGAAAAGCAUUCAAAUUCUCGCGCCCACACUUAUCGGCUGUCGUUGACGACAGUGAGUGAAACGUGAACCGACGGCGUACCGCGCCAGGACCAAGUUGCGCUGCUGCCGCAGCCCUUCGCGCUUCACCGAAGGAUGCGCGAUAGGGUCUGUAGCUCAGUCGGUUAGAGCACCGUCUUGAUAAGGCGGGGGUCGUUGGUUCGAAUCCAACCAGACCCACCAUCGAGCCAUCGGGGGUGUAGCUCAGCUGGGAGAGCACCUGCUUUGCAAGCAGGGGGUCAUCGGUUCGAUCCCGUUCACCUCCACCAUGAUGUGUCGUCGGACGCUCAAGCUGCUCAUGGCGGCUUGAGCGCCCGAUCGAUUGAUCGGCUGUCGUUCUUUAACAAUUCGUAGAGUCGAAUCAGCGUCGCCGACGGCGUGCCGCAAGGUGCCCAACUAGUCGGCGACAUGUGAUUGCGUCACCAAACUUCAAUCGAGUCAGGUUGAAGAACGGCAUAACGUGAUACUCAAAUCAGUCCUUGACGAUGUCCGGCGUCAGCCGGCGUCAGAGUUAUAGGGUCAAGUGACUAAGUGCAUGUG